rnacentral:rRNA from 1 species
UACAGGGGAUACAAGCGUUACUCGGAAUCACUGGGCGUAAAGCGUCUGUAGGUGCUUGAGGUAGUCUGAGGUAAAAGCUCGGGGCUUAACCCUGAGAGCGUCUCGGAAACUCCUCGAGUGGAGCAGUAGAGAGGCAUCUGGAAUGCCGCAUGUAGGAGUAAAAUCCGUAGAGAUGCGGUAGAACGCCAAAAGCGUAGGCAGGAUGCUAGCUACUCGCUGACACUGAGAGACGAAAGCGUGGGGAGCGAAGCGG